UCAACCUAUCGUUCCUGUAAGUUUUCUUGUAAUUGUCCUAUUUAUAGUUAAAUCCCCCCUCUCAUAAUAUUGUAAAGCGCUACGGAAUUUGUUGGCGCUAUAUAAAUGGCAAUAAUAAUAAUAUUAAUAUGGUCAUGUGGUGAAACUGAAUCCCCAUAUUCGUUUUUCUGAUUUUAAGUAGCCUUAUAAAAUGUAAAAUUUCCCUCACAUCUGGUGAAAAUGUGAAGAGUUGGGUACCUUAAAUUUAGUUUUUAAGAGGAAAGUAAAAGUAACAGCACAUAUGUUUUUAUUCCAUAUUGACCUCCGUACUGGUAAC